rnacentral:rRNA from 1 species
GAUGAACGCUGGCGGCGUGCCUAAUACAUGCAAGUCGAGCGAACAGACGAGGAGCUUGCUCCUUUGAUGUUAGCGGCGGACGGGUGAGUAACACGUAGGUAACCUACCUAUAAGACUGGGAUAACUUCGGGAAACCGGAGCUAAUACCGGAUAAUAUUUCGAACCGCAUGGUUCGAUAGUGAAAGAUGGCUUUGCUAUCACUUAUAGAUGGACCUGCGCCGUAUUAGCUAGUUGGUAAGGUAACGGCUUACCAAGGCAACGAUACGUAGCCGACCUGAGAGGGUGAUCGGCCACACUGGAACUGAGACACGGUCCAGACUCCUACGGGAGGCAGCAGUAGGGAAUCUUCCGCAAUGGGCGAAAGCCUGACGGAGCAACGCCGCGUGAGUGAUGAAGGUCUUCGGAUCGUAAAACUCUGUUAUUAGGGAAGAACAAACGUGUAAGUAACUGUGCACGUCUUGACGGUACCUAAUCAGAAAGCCUCGGCUAACUACGUG